UACGUAGGGGGCAAGCGUUGUCCGGAUUUAUUGGGCGUAAAGAGCGUGUAGGCGGCCAGAUAGGUCAGCUGUGAAAACUCGAGGCUCAACCUCGAGACGCCGGUUGAAACCAUCUGGCUAGAGUCCGGAAGAGGAGAGUGGAAUUCCUGGUGUAGCGGUGAAAUGCGCAGAUAUCAGGAAGAACACCCGUGGCGAAGGCGGCUCUCUGGGACGGUACUGACGCUGAGACGCGAAAGCGUGGGGAGCGAACAGG
rnacentral:rRNA from 1 species